UACGGAGGGUGCGAGCGUUAAUCGGAAUCACUGGGCGUAAAGCGCGCGUAGGCGGCUUUUCAAGUCAGGGGUGAAAUCCCACGGCCCAACCGUGGAACUGCCUUUGAAACUGUAGAGCUUGAGUGUCGGAGAGGGUGGCGGGAUUCCAGGUGUAGGAGUGAAAUCCGUAGAUAUCUGGAGGAACACCGGUGGCGAAGGCGGCCACCUGGACGACAACUGACGCUGAGGUGCGAAAGCGUGGGUAGCAAACAGG
rnacentral:rRNA from 1 species